GUAGAUAUAGUAUAAUACAUCACACUGGCCUGUGACGCCAGAGAUAGGGAAUUACAACCCCUUGUCUGCC
rnacentral:tRNA from 1 species